GCCAGCAUGAUGUAGUGGUUUGAGUGUUGGACUAUGGCUGUAGAAACCUGGGUUUGAAUCCCAGUUCAGCCA